UUUCACUUCGCUCCGCGCCGUCUCCAGGUCUCGAGCUCUUCAGAUCGCUCCGGCCCGUGUCGCCGCCGCCGCCGGGUCCUCGCAGCUGCUGGGCGCGUCCUGCCCACUGCGGUCAGCAUCGCCUCGGGCUGCUCGGUUCGUCCCGCUUCCGCCGCCACCGCCUUGGCGCCUUCCCCUGGACCGCGCUUCCCCAAUGUCUGACUCUGACUCUCGGACUGAGAAACGCAAGAAAAAAAGACCAAAUGGCAAAGCAACCUUCCGAUGCAAGUUCUGAGUGUGACAGAGAAGGUGGACAAUUGCAGCCUGCUGAGAGACCGCCUCAGCUCAGGCCCGGGGCUCCGACCUCUGUACAGAUAGAGCGGCAAGGUAAUCCUGAAGGUGAAGGGGACCGCUGCCCCCACGGCAGCCCUCAGGGCCCGCUGGCCCCGCCUGCCAGCCCCGGGCCUUUUGCCACCAGAUCCCCGCUCUUCAUCUUUGUGAGAAGAUCCUCCCUGCUGUCCCGCUCCUCCAGUGGGUAUUUCUCUUUUGACACAGACAGGAGCCCAGCACCCAUGAGUUGUGACAAAUCAACACAAACGCCGAGUCCUCCUUGCCAGGCCUUCAACCAUUAUCUCAGUGCAAUGGCCUCCCGGCGGCAGCCCCAGGCCCUCCCCGCGGACCUGCGCCCGGAGAUCUGGAUCGCACAGGAGCUUCGGCGGAUCGGGGACGAGUUCAACGCCUGUUACCCACGGAGGGGAGGACCUGGAGCGAUAGUUAAAUGAGAGGGCAUGUGAGUCAGCUCGGACUGUCAUCCCCGAGGGGGCCCAAACACCGGGAGUGUGUCCCCACAGUCCUGGAGGCCAGAAGGCUGAGAUCGCAUGCCAGCAGCCACCAUCUUCCGCCUGCUGUCCUCAAAGCGGGGUGGAAGAUGUCUCAGACGCUGCCGGUUCUGGAACAUAAAAUUGGCUAAGGGAGCGGUUGGGGUCAGUCCCUGAUGUGACCCGUCCCCUGGUUGGUGUCUUUUUGACCCUGUUCUCUGGUCCUCCUGAGGCCACAGUGACACCUGGUUGACAUGAGAUUUCCCACCUCGAAGUGAUUGCCGAGCCCGGCACUGGACACCCUUUCUUCAUUUUAGUCUUCCUGAAUAAUUACCGAGCAGCGGGAGCCCACCCGCGGAUGGCGGUCAUACGGCUGUUGCGUUACAUCCUCCGUCUGUUGUGGAGGAUGCAGUGACGACGGCGUCCCCACGAAGCAGAGGUGUGUGCAGACAUUUCGCGUGUUCAAGCCAACAAGCCUCCCGGCGCCAUUGCCACCGUUGCCAUGCAGCCCACGGUUCUUUCCUGGAGGGGCCGGCUGACGCCGCGGCGGGCGGCAGGGCACUGCGUGCGGACUUGGCCAUGUCUGUUCCUCACCACACGGCAGUCUCGGAUGGAGUUUGUUGUGAAUGUAAACGAGAGGAUGCUCAAGAAGUAUACAAAUCAUGGCUUUGUGGAGCAGGAUUUUAUGCAAGAAUGGUGUUUACAUGUGGUGUGGUUUUUUUCCACCUUCUUUAAUAAGAACAGGUUUUUUCAAAAAGGAAAUGGAAAUUUUUAACCAACUCGUGAAUGAUUUUUGUACUAAAAUUUUAAGAACCUAUUGCCUAUUCUCAGAGGAUUAUGUAAACUGCAGUGGAAACUGAGCCAGCUAAUUUCUGAAGCUGCCUUAGUUUAUUUUUAGAGGCUACUGUACAGAAUUUUUCAACGGGAGAGGUAUGAUAUGGCCCCUCCCUGCCAUUGCCUCUUCCACCUGUUUUUUUUUUUAAUCGUUACUAUUAAUACCAAAAAGUUCUUAUGAAAGGGAACUGAUGAAAGGGGCAGAGGGUCCUUUGUCAGCCUGUAUUAAUAUGCCACUCCCAUUUUGUAAAUAUCUACUUCCUCCUUAAAUUCAGUUGCUUCUGUGGCAAAAUUUUGGUCUCUUUCUGUGUGUUUUUCCUGAUCUCCUUUAGUGACGUUCCUCCCGUCCGUCUGGAGGCCGAUGCAGUGGGUCCAGUGUAUCUUCACGAUAAAGUGUGACUGGGUCGGGAUGUGACUUAGCACUGGCCUGGGUCAGCACAACUCAGGCGCUGCGCUGGUCGCUUACUAACUGGGAAGUGCUUGGUGCUGCUUUCCAUGGGCUUUGGUGGGCUUGAUUUCACAAAUGUUCUGAUGGGGUAACAGCCGUAAUAGCACAGUGUUAGGCCCCUGGGUGCUGUUGGCUCUUCCAGUGGCAGGCUUUCCCCUCAUCACAGGAUGCACUCAGCAGGAGGCCCAGGUGGCCGACGUGCCCACCUGCAGCUGCAUUGAGCUGCAGGUGUCCAGGCUUCAGCCCUGGUGCGGGGGAGGGAAUGGCACAGGCCAUGGGUGGGGCUUUAGACAGCUGUUUCCUGGGCAUCCUGGCUUUUUGUCCAACUCAGAGUUCCUCUGGCCUUUGGCAACCUCUCUCAUAUCCACUUUGAAAUGCAGGCUUCAUUCUCCUUUCAGCCCUGGCAUCCAGACCUCCACUGGCACAAGUCUGAGACGGUCCCUUGUGGCAGAUGUCUAUUUUACUCGUUCGUUUCUCUUAGGACAGUUGGGUUUGUCAGGCCACCCUUUGUGCAUCCACUUCUUCCUCCAUUCCAGCCGUGGGGUGGUGGGCCAUCUGAAGGCAGUUCAACAACUGGGGAGACCCAAGAGAGACAGUUAGGGAGCGAGGACGGAGGGGAGGUGCAGCCCAUUCUGUGGGCCCCGUGCGUCCUGCAGUUUUGGAAACUUCAGAUCAGGAAGCAGCUUUUCAAAAGAAAUACGUGAUUUUUCAAAGGCGUCAGCAGUACCGACAACUGUUGUGUUUGUUUUUGGCCCUUGAAGGCUAAAAUGAAGUGGAAAAUUAAUUUGUGUGUAUCUUCAUAAUUUCAUAUAAAUAUAUGUGUAUACAUAUACAUGUAUGUGUGUAUAUACACUUCUUCCUUUAGGUAGAGGUGAGCCCAAAUAUUCUUUUAUUAAAUCUCCUUCUCCCCGAAUAUCUUUUUGGGGUCUUGAAUAUCUUUAAAGCUGUGUUGAGUCUCAGCUUGUGUUCUUGACAGGUCUGGAACCCCUUGCCAGGUCACAGAGGCCACACGGUUGUAAGGUCACGGUAGAAUUGCAGCCGUGGGCCUGCUGGACACACACGCCAAAGACGUAUUUGGUUCUGGGCCCGCCCCUCCCAGGGUCUCCGUGCUCACGUGCCAGUCCCUCCGACUGGAGCACUUUACCUGCUUCUGGGGCCUGGGGCGCGCCACCCGCCAGUUUACCUCUGGCUUGGCUGCUGGCCGCCGCCGCGGCUCGUGAGGAAGUAGGGGAUUCUGAGCUGUCUGUCCUCAGAACAGGGUGUUCCUCCAGGACUUGAGAUGACCGGAUGUCUCUGCACUGUAUGUGUCUGUUUAUCAAAAUGCCUCCUGCAGGAAGGGUGCCUCCCGGGGUAUACCUUCGGCUUUGUAUUUGUUACUGCUUUUAUUUUCUCGUAGAAAAAAUGACUAGCUCCCUCUCGGAAGACGUAUGAAAUGCGGGUUUUGUGCCUUGACCACCUCUUCUCAUAUGAGGUUUAUAGAAAGUGUCCUGUGAUUAUCACAGAAAUGCAAUAAACACACCCAAAAUAACUCCAUGAGUGAUUCUUCAAGUUACCUGGACUCCUGCCUAGACGUGAGUUCAUGAAGAGGAUAGUUACUGUUUUGUGGUUGUUGAGAAGCCAGGUAAAAACUCCUUCUGAUCAAACAAAAGAUUUACACAGGCCAAUGCAACUUCCUCCUGCUUCCUCUCCCGAAUGGUGUAUAUAUUUUGACUAUUUAUUAGAUUAGGAGAUCAUGUUUUCCUUAUCAACUGAGCCAAAUGUCUGUGUGCAAUUGUGUUUCCUUUACCUUUCUUGUAAAAUUUUGUACAGUAUGAAUGAGCAAAACAAUCACUGUUUUUACUAAACUUUUUCAGAAUUAAGAAUUGUAAAUAUUGUAGAUUGUUUUUCUGUGUAAUGUGUCCUACUGGUUCAUAGUGCUGUAACUUGUAGAAAUAUUGUAUAUUUAUUUCCUGCUUAUUUAAUGUCUGAAGUUCUGGAAAGUGUUCACCUCCCUGACACUCCCCCCCCCCCCCCCCCGUCAGUUGCUUUAACUCUGAGGUGGUGACCUUCAGCCCACUGCAGGCCGUGCCGUGCCAUCUUCCGGGGGUGGCCCUCCAGCCCUGGUUUUGGUAUUUCUGGUCAAGUGGGCUUCGAUUCUGGAGGCUUGCUGUCCUAAUGAGGAAGCUCGUGUUUAGACACCAAUGAGAGACCAUAAAUCUGGCGGGCUACAAAAUUCUGCAGCAUACACCCAGUGACUUUGUUCCCAAACAGCUCUAGCUUCUCGUGGAAGCAUGUCCCAGGAACUCCAGGCCAUAUCUUUACAAAAAGCAUUAUCGGCAGUUGGGGCAGAUGUUUCCAUUGAAAAUUUACCCCUGACGAGUCCGUGUUGAGAGAAAUAAAAUCAUGCCUCUGCUGGAGGAGCUGCCUGGGACCUUUGAGGGCAGGGGGCAGGUGGGAGGGGCUGCUCCUGCUUCUAGGACACCCCCCCCUGCCCAGCCACUGACCUUUCCGGGGCAUUUCCCCACCUGCUGUGUGGCUUCCUAUGCCCUGAGGAGUGGACUAAAUUGUCUUCAGGAGCUAAUUGUCCAGCCCCUCGGUCCCCAAGCCACUUGUCAGCUUGUUCAAGUUGGUGUCCUGCUUGUUUGUCCAUCACCUACGAGAGGCUGGGGGCCCCACUGGGGUGGGUAUUAAGACGUGGACACCUUAGAGAGACUUCCUGUGGUCCCGGGCACAUGGUUCUGUCAUCAGUACUGAUUUAGCCUGAUGCCUAUGCGGGGAUGUGUCCCCACGUGAUGCAAACCAGCUGGGUGGCUUGUGUGCCGCUCCCAACAGCAUUGUGUGCAAGGAGCACGUCCACGCUCCCGGCAUAGUCACUUGCCCGCUUGCACUGGGCAUGUCCAGCCUUUGAAGCCCCUCAGUCUGUGUCCAGGUCCUGUGACCACUAGUUACUGUAUCGGAACUCAUCAGGUACUCACCAUAACGAGCACUGACCCAUGUGUGCUGACUCGUCACCCUGUCCCGAGGACCCAGCAUAUGUAGCAUUUGUAUUGCGAUUCCCCUGGCUGACUUGUGUUUUGCACUGAUGAAUUUUGACAGGGUAAUUGCCACUUUAUUGUGCAAUACUGCUGUAAAUACCUGCAGAUUUUUAAGAAACUCAAUCUUUUAUGUUCUUAAUGAAUUUUAUAUAAAUAAAACUUUCA